AUUUUCCUUCCCUUUAAAAGCUCUAUCAGCCUUGCUCAAUCAACCAAGGUUCGAUUCUUGGUCCUUGCAUAUUUCCAAAAUAUUUUGCUAUCCCUUUUCUCCUUUCCUUUCUUUCUUCUGAUCCACCUCCUGGAUCGUUUUCAAUUUCUAACCUAAGCUCCUCUCUCCUCUCACCUCCGCCCCCUCUCCUCAAAUCAAACUCCACAACGAGCCACCAAAUUCCGAUCUUCCCACCACCAUUCAUGUGCCGUUCGUCACAGACUCAACCAGGUGGUGGCGGUGCUGCGUUCGAGCUGAAUCGUUUCUUCGACGGCGGAUUUUUUUUCCUGUUGGAACACCAAGACGCAACUCAAUUUCAGUUGGAGUUGAAGCUUUGAUUUUUUGGUUGGAGUUGAAGCUUUGGUAAUUCUACAGGAACUCAAAUGGCCAUUUGUAUCAGUGUUUAGAGUUUGUCUUGCCUUUAAGAAGGAUUAGGGGAAGACGACGUUGACUGAACGAGUUCUGUUUUACACUGGACGAAUUACCAUUCAGUGAUGCUACUUACUGCAGCUGGAAGGGGUAUCAGGUUUGAAAAAUUAUGGCUGAAGGAGAGGAAGACAUGCCCAGGGAUGCAAAGAUUGUGAAGUCAUUAUUAAAAUCUAUGGGUGUUGAGGAGCAUGAGCCCCGCGUUGUGCACCAGUUUCUGGAGCUAUGGUACAGAUAUGUCGUCGAUGUCUUGACGGAUGCACAAGGUUACUCAGAACAUGCAGGCAAAGGCACAAUUGACUGUGAUGAUAUUAAGCUUGCUAUCCAAUCAAAAGUGAAUUUCAGAUUCUCACAACCGCCACCUCGGGAGGAUUGAACGAUCCUGAAGAGAAGAUGAGAUUACUUCAGUUAGAGCAAGAGGAGGCUGCGAGAAUGGAGAGGGAGCGGCUAAAGGUUAAGGAGCGAGAAAGGUAGUUUCUGCAAGCGUUGGAGAUGGAGAAGAAGAGGAAGAACAACGCAAAUUCGAAGAAGAAGAAUCUUAGAGAAGGCUGGCUAGGGUUGAUUCUCAAGAGAUUCACUUUCUACCUUUCAACCCCACCGACAAAAGAACAUCAUGAUAAGGAUGGUAAAAUGCAUAAGGUCAGCAAAGGUGCUCCAGAACAGGUUUACAUGGCUGCAACUGAUACGGCUCUUCCCAUGGGUUAGAACUAAAGCUACAAGCUAGAAAGAUAGGGUGAAUGAUGGAAGAUUGGUGUGCUACGAAAAGCGGAGUUUUUGGGUUCACUCCCUCUACUCUAUGCGAUAUGUAUGUGAUUUCAUUCCUGCCCCCAAAAACAGAGGUUAAAAGAUUACUACAUAUUUAAUAAGCAUCAAAUCUACCGGGAGGGUCUGAACAUAAGUCUUCAAACUCCUAGGGUCCAAGCUCUUAACUGAGAAGAACCUUCAAAAUGACGUGCGAAAAAGUGGUAUUUAGAACAAUUAUGGAAAAAUAUAAUCAUGUAAUUGAUGUACUCAUUCAAUUUGUUUAUUGAGUUUUAUUUUAUUGCAGACACGUAGCAUAAUUUACUACAGAUCGUGUCAAGGAAGAACAAGGAAUGUUAGACUAAAAGAGAA